rnacentral:rRNA from 1 species
AGCAGCCACGGUAAUUCCAGCUCCAAUAGCGUAUAUUAAAGUUGUUGCAAUUAAAAGCCUGUAGUUGAAUUUCGGGGUUCUAUUGUUGGUCGGGCAAUAGUCUGUAUUGGCGUGUAGAAUUUCUACUUUCUGGGGAACCAUCAUGUUAUUUAUUUAGCAUGGUGGGAAACCAGGACCUUUAUCUUGAAAAAAGUUAGAGUGUUCAAAGCAGGCUUACAUCGAAUACAUUAGCAUGAAAUAAUAAAAUAGGAUGGUGGUCCUGUUUUGUUGGUUUCUGAAUCACUGUAAUGAUUAAUAGGAAUAGUUGGAGGCAUUAGUAUUCAAUUGUCAAAGGUGAAAUUCUUGGAUUUAUUGAAGACUAACUUCUGUGAAAGCAUUUGCCAAGGAUGUUUUCAUUAAUCAAGAAUGAAAGUUAGGGGAUCGAAUAUGAUCAGAUACCGUCGUAGUCUUAACCAUAAACUAUACCGAUUAGGGGAUCGGACGAUAUUAAUUUUUCUUGACUCGUUCGGCGCCUUACAGG